GGGAACCAAUGUCAAGGAACUCUGCAAAUUCAUCCCGUAAGUUCGCAAGAAGGGAUGCCCACCCUAAAAAGUGGGCCGCAGUGAAUAGUAAGGGGGAACUGUUUAUCAAAAACACAGCUCUAUGCUAAGUCGUAAGACGAUGUAUAUGGGGUGACUCCUGCCCAGUGCCCGAAGGUUAAGCAAAGUUGUUAGCUUUAGCGAAGCAUUGAUGUGAAGCCCGGGUGAACGGCGGCCGUAACUAUAACGGUCCUAAGGUAGCGAAAUUCCUUGUCGGCUAAAUACUGACCCGCACGAAAGGAGUAAUUAUCUCUUAACUGUCUCGACAUUGGACUCGGUGAAAUUAUGGUUCCGGCGAAGACGCCGGAGACCCGCAUCUAGACGAAAAGACCCCGUGGAGCUUUACUAUAACUUCAUAUUGGAGUUUGAUUUAACUUGUGUAGGAUAGGUGGGAGACUAUGAUGCUUGAACGCUAGUUCAAGUGGAGUCGACGUUGAAAUACCACCCUUGUUACGUUGAACUUCUAACUUGUUACCAUGAUCUGGUAAGAGGACAGUGUGUGGUGGGUAGUUUGACUGGGGCGGUCGCCUCCUAAAGGGUAACGGAGGCGUUCAAAGUUACACUCAAUACGGUCAGAAACCGUAUCAAAGAGCAUAAAGGUAGAAGUGUGAUUGACUGUGAGACCUACAAGUCGAGCAGGUGCGAAAGCAGGACUUAGUGAUCCGGCGGUUCUUUGUGGAAAGGCCGUCGCUCAACGGAUAAAAGCUACCCCGGGGAUAACAGGCUUAUCUUUCCCAAGAGAUCACAUCGACGGGAAGGUUUGGCACCUCGAUGUCGGCUCAUCGCAUCCUGGAGCUGGAGUCGGUUCCAAGGGUUGGGCUGUUCGCCCAUUAAAGCGGUACGCGAGCUGGGUUCAAAACGUCGUGAGACAGUUUGGUUCCUAUCUGAUGUGGGCGUUGGAAUAUUGAUGAGAGCUACUCUUAGUACGAGAGGACCGGAGUGGACGUACCGAUGGUGUGCCAGUUGUUCCGCCAGGAGCAUAGCUGGGUAGCCAAGUACGGCAGGGAUAACCGCUGAAAGCAUCUAAGCGGGAAGCCCCCUCAAAGAUGAGUAUUCCCUAUUAAAUUCCUUAUAGACUAUGAGGUUGAUAGGCUGGAGGUGUAAGUAUAGUAAUGUAUUCAGCUGACCAGUACUAAUAAAAAAAAAAAAAAAAAAAA
rnacentral:rRNA from 1 species